UUGAGCCGUACGAGAUGAAAUUUUCAUAUACGGCUCUUAGAGGGGGACUUGGGUUAGUUACCUAUCUCAAU
rfam:Triticum aestivum genome assembly, contig: Triticum_aestivum_CS42_TGACv1_scaffold_094890_2AL